rnacentral:rRNA from 1 species
UCGAACGAGUUCUCGUUGAUGAUCGGUGCUUGCACCGAGAUUCAACAUAGAACGAGUGGCGGACGGGUGAGUAACACGUGGGUAACCUGCCCUUAAGUGGGGGAUAACAUUUGGAAACAGAUGCUAAUACCGCAUAGAUCCAAGAACCGCAUGGUUCUUGGCUGAAAGAUGGCGUAAGCUAUCGCUUUUGGAUGGACCCGCGGCGUAUUAGCUAGUUGGUGAGGUAAUGGCCCACCAAGGCGAUGAUACGUAGCCGAACUGAGAGGUUGAUCGGCCACAUUGGGACUGAGACACGGCCCAAACUCCUACGGGAGGCAGCAGUAGGGAAUCUUCCACAAUGGACGCAAGUCUGAUGGAGCAACGCCGCGUGAGUGAAGAAGGCUUUCGGGUCGUAAAACUCUGUUGUUGGAGAAGAAUGGUCGGCAGAGUAACUGUUGUCGGCGUGACGGUAUCCAACCAGAAAGCCACGGCUAACUACGUGCCAGCAGCCGCGGUAAUACGUAGGUGGCAAGCGUUAUCCGGAUUUAUUGGGCGUAAAGCGAGCGCAGGCGGUUUUUUAAGUCUGAUGUGAAAGCCCUCGGCUUAACCGAGGAAGCGCAUCGGAAACUGGGAAACUUGAGUGCAGAAGAGGACAGUGGAACUCCAUGUGUAGCGGUGAAAUGCGUAGAUAUAUGGAAGAACACCAGUGGCGAAGGCGGCUGUCUGGUCUGUAACUGACGCUGAGGCUCGAAAGCAUGGGUAGCGAACAGGAUUAGAUACCCUGGUAGUCCAUGCCGUAAACGAUGAAUGCUAGGUGUUGGAGGGUUUCCGCCCUUCAGUGCCGCAGCUAACGCAUUAAGCAUUCCGCCUGGGGAGUACGACCGCAAGGUUGAAACUCAAAGGAAUU